rnacentral:rRNA from 1 species
ACUCCUACGGGAGGCAGCAGUGGGAAUUUUGGACAAUGGGCGCAAGCCUGAUCCAGCCAUGCCGCGUGAGUGAAGAAGGCCUUCGGGUUGUAAAGCUCUUUCAGCCGGGAAGAAAAGGCCGCGACUAAUAAUCGCGGUUCAUGACGGUACCGGAAGAAGAAGCACCGGCUAACUACGUGCCAGCAGCCGCGGUAAUACGUAGGGUGCGAGCGUUAAUCGGAAUUACUGGGCGUAAAGGUGCGCAGGCGGUCUUGUAAGUCAGAUGUGAAAUCCCCGGGCUUAACCUGGGAACUGCGUUUGAAACUACAAGACUAGAGUGUAGCAGAGGGGGUGGAAUUCCAUGUGUAGCAGUGAAAUGCGUAGAGAUAUGGAAGAACACCGAUGGCGAAGGCAGCCCCCUGGGUUAACACUGACGCUCAGGCACGAAAGCGUGGGGAGCAAACAGGAUUAGAUACCCUGUAGGCUCUG